UAAAUGGCCACGGCAGCUUCAGACUUUGGGGAUUUCUAUUCGAUAAAAAGGUUGGAAUAUAAAUACGCAAGAAGCUUCUUUGAUUGGCUGAAUUACGCUUUCCCGGUUUUAGUUCCCCCACCACUCGAUUGUGAGAUGUACCAUUUUUGAGGCGGUGACGUCAGUCUAAGGGAAGCCUGAAGAACCUUUUACAAGCUAUUGACCAGCCUCUGAUGAAGCUACAGUUAUUAAUACAACAGGCUUAACCAGCUAAGCAAACCCAUUAAUUCUUUUGAGAAGAUCGCUACAGAAAAGGCUGUCUUUCCUUGUACACUGCAGCGCCUCAGAUGUCCAGGUGUCCUGUUUAGCAUUCCUUGAAAACACCGUCUAUACUAAGAAAACAAAUCAGCUCCCUCUGCAAAUAUUCCACAUGACAGAGAAGGCAAUGUUGGGUUGACAUCAACUUCCAUUCAAUUCUCAUCAUGCUUUCCAUUACAAAAGAUGAUCCAAGAAAACUUGUAUAGUUCUGUCACUGCUCAAAUGCUUCAUGCCACCACAUUAGCUCCACUCAGUAGUGGUAGGACUUCAAUACAGCCCAGCAACAAACCUAUGAGGUAAGCUGAGAAUGACUGGCCCAGAGUCACUCAGUCAGCUUUCAUACCUAAAGAGGGACUAGAACUCACAGAUUCCUGGUUUCCAACUGGCGCCUUAACCACUAGACAGAGGCUCUUAGAUUUCUUUAUACAGACCUUUGCCUCAGAUGUCAACACUAAUGGGUGGAUAACAGACUUGGAUUCCUCAGGGAGUGACUUAUCCUUGCAGUCCACCUUUACAUGCCUUUGCAUUUCAUACUUAUCUUUUCCUUAUAGAAGAAUAUCACUGUAAAGAUUGAAAUAGUAAUGCAUAGUUUCCUAAAAGAAAUCAGAAUAAUUGAAUGGAAGAGGUUGUGACAGGGGCUGCUGUUUCUGAAAGAACAAAAAUCACAGAUUAAUUUCAGCAGGCACUUCUUAUAUUCUAUUAAAGCUUAGCAAAUAUUGCUACCUUCUCUACAAAUGAAUUAGUCUUCAGCAAUUUUGAAUACUGCCUCAAGAUGUGAACUAUAUGCAUUUAACAGGAAGCUCCACCAAGUCAAUGGUUCUUUUUUCCCCCCUUGCAAUAAAAAUGGAUGAAAUGUUAGUCUCAUCUUGACAUGUCUAGCUAGAAAGGUUAUUAGCAUUGUUAUUAGCAAUGAGUCCUUCACAAAAUAGAGUGUAGAUGGUUAUAUCUUAAAAUGCAAUACUAUUUGGUUUUUCCAAUACUGCAUGCUUAUGCCACAAUUAAAAAUCAGAUUUUUUUAAAGACAUUGGUA